UUCUUCUUUGUCUAGGGGAGCAUAAUGUCCAAUGAUCGUCUAGUGAGGGCAUUUCUGCUGACACCCUGUAUAUUAUAUCCGCGCCCACUAACCGAUAUGGUUUAGAGAGUGCAAUUUUUGGAGGU